rnacentral:rRNA from 1 species
CAGUAGCCGCGGGAAUACGUAGGUCCCGAGCGUUGUCCGGAUUUAUUGGGCGUAAAGCGAGCGCAGGCGGUUAGAUAAGUCUGAAGUUAAAGGCUGUGGCUUAACCAUAGUACGCUUUGGAAACUGUUUAACUUGAGUGCAAGAGGGGAGAGUGGAAUUCCAUGUGUAGCGGUGAAAUGCGUAGAUAUAUGGAGGAACACCUGUGGCGAAAGCGGCUCUCUGGCUUGUAACUGACGCUGAGGCUCGAAAGCGUGGGGAGCAAACAGGAUUAGAUACCCCAGUAGUCCCUGUCUCUUAUACA